rnacentral:rRNA from 1 species
CCCUUAGAUGUUCUGGGCCGCACGCGCGCUACACUGAUGCAUUCAACGAGUUUCUUCCUGGUCCGAGAGGAAUGGGUAACCUUUUGAAAGUGCAUCGUGAUAGGGAUAGACUAUUGCAAUUAUUGGUCUUCAACGAGGAAUUCCUAGUAGACGUAGUUCAUCAGACUGCAUCGAUUACGUCCCUGCCCUUUGUACACACCGCCCGUCGCUCCUACCGAUUGAAUGCUCAGGUGAGCCAUUCAGACCUUCAUCAUGCCGGUUUCCGGUUUUGAUGAGGGAAAGUCUUGCGAACCUUAUCAUUUAGAGGAAGGAGAAGUCGUAACA